rnacentral:rRNA from 1 species
GACGAACGCUGGCGGCGUGCUUAACACAUGCAAGUCGAACGAUGAAGCUGGAGCUUGCUCCGGUGGAUUAGUGGCGAACGGGUGAGUAACACGUGAGCAAUCUGCCCUUGACUCUGGGAUAACUGCGGGAAACUGUAGCUAAUACCGGAUACGAGGCUCGAAGGCAUCUUCGGGUCUGGAAAGAAUUUCGGUCAAGGAUGAGCUCGCGGCCUAUCAGCUUGUUGGUGAGGUAAUGGCUCACCAAGGCGACGACGGGUAGCCGGCCUGAGUGGGUGACCGGCCACACUGGGACUGAGACACUGCCCAGACUCCUACGGGAGGCAGCAGUGGGGAAUAUUGCACAAUGGGCGAAAGCCUGAUGCAGCAACGCCGCGUGAGGGAUGAAGGCCUUCGGGUUGUAAACCUCUUUUAGCAGGGAAGAGGCGAAAGUGACGGUACCUGCAGAAAAAGCACCGGCUAACUACGUGCCAGCAGCCGCAGUAA